CCCCAAAAGAUAAGCUGAUGCUGAGUUCCAGCUUUAUGGCUUAACUCAUUGAAUUAUCACAACCACCAUAUAAGUUGGUACUAUUUUUAUCCCCAUUUUACAGAUGAGGGAGUGAAGUCAUCAAGAAUUAAGUGACUUGUCUAAGAUUGUAUUGAAAAUGGUAGAGCUUGGAUACAACCCCAGACAGGACAGCUCCAGAGCCUGUGGUCUUAACCACUAGAGUGCACUACUUGUCUAAAAGAACGUCACACCUGGAAGGGUGUAUAAAAGAGGAAGCUGAGAUCUAACGAUGGUAAGUUACAACCAAGAGCCCCACGACGCAGCAUGACACAGGAGAUGAGAAGAUAGCUCUCUUGGUCCACAGAUCACUGCUCCUGUCGUGAACUCUCAUGGUUUCAUCUGAUACCCUCAACUAGAGGACAUGUAGCUCUGCGGAUGACUAUCCUCUGCAAUGAGUUUCCAAGUGGAAGAGGCCUAAGAAGGCAAAAGUUUCUAGGGAAACAGAGCACACUUAGCAUCCGAGGAAGGAGCCCAGGACAGCAUCCCCCGCCCACAACCAGGCACGGAGCAGGCGGAAAACAUUGGCCUACAUGGGUGGCCUGCCAAAGCCACCGCCACAGCCACGGCUACUGCAAAAAGUGGCUCAAUGCCACCACAGUAGCCACAGUAGCCAUGACACUCGACUGCCAGACACUUGACUGCAGUGACACAAGGACAGUGACCAGUGGAGACUG